UUUGUUUGUCAACACAGUGCUUUUCAGAAGCCUAGUGCAUUAGCAAACCAAAAAGGCUUGUCCAAAAAUGCAGAGUGUCCAGCAAGCUUAAAAGCUGUUAUUAAACUGGACACAGUAUCUACGAGGAAGAAAGAUCCAUUUAUUAAGGUAUUCACAUUAUACAAUUAAGCUUAUAAUUAAUGUUUUUGUUUUUUUUGUUUAGCUUGUGAAUUAGUGAAUUCUUCCAGAUCAUCUCUGGUGAUAUAUUAUCCUAUUAUUAUUUAAAAUUUAUUAUUUGUCAAUGGGUAAUAAUACAAAAGUUAAGUCGUUGUAAAAUUAAUCCAUAACACUUGUAUGAUUUUAAAGUAUAAACAAUUUAUAAAAUAAAUGUAUUAAAUAAUUACUUU